rnacentral:miRNA from 1 species
UUUAUCGUCCUGCAAUUCUACAAUUUGUCAACAAGUUGUGAAUGUUGUCACUCAUAACUUGUUGACAAAUUGUUGAAUUGCAGGACGGUAACAAGCAACAAC